rnacentral:sRNA from 1 species
UCAGUUCCCAGCAUGCACAGGGGCAGCUCGUAACUACCCGUAACUCUGGGGAAACCCGGCUAAACCUGGCAUACACUUACACCUAUAUUACACUAAGUGGGGGCGGGGGGGCGUUUCAACAUGCACAGAAUAAUAAAAUGCCCUUACAUAUCUGUUACCUAGCUUCAACAAUUCUCAACUCCUGGCCAAUCUUUUCUUAUCUUUUCUAGGUUCCGUCUCCCAGGCCAUUUCACCCGUCAGUAUCUCAGUGCAUAUCUUUGAAAGAUAAUGACUCUUUCUCUUUAAACAUAAUCCCAGGAGAUUAUCAAAAAUGAGCAAAAGCUUCCAGUGUUUGGAUUCCAUUCUCUUGUAAAUUUCGCCUUUAUUUAUUUAUUCUCUGAGACACUGGGCCUUAUGCUACUCACGUUAACCCUCAGACUCUUGCGUUUAAGGGAUUCUUCUGCCUCAGUUUCCUAAAUACCUGGGACUGUGGGCUCAUGCCUUGGUACUUGCCUUAUUUCAGAGUUUCGUUUUGUUUUUUCUUUCUUUUUUUCCUCUUUGAGAUGAGGUCUAACUAUGUAGCUCUGGCUGGUCUGAUACUCAGGACCUUCCUGCUUCGGUCUCCUUAGUGACGGGAUUACUACAGACGGUGAAUCGCAACACCCCACACGUACUUCACAGAGCAACAAAGAAUGCAACUGGGUCAGUCCGCCACGAGAGGGCGCCGUCACAGACUCCAGCCGUCUCUGCACUUGCGCAAUGUUGGGGCUGAUGGCGAGUGAAGAGCUGGGAGGAGCGAGGCCUGCGCAGCACCCACUUCCAGGCUGGGAAAGUACAACCAAGGGGCAUGCGUGCUGGACCCCGCUGUUAGUCUAGCGACACAGGAGGACAUUCAAGGGCUGCAAGCCUAUCACGCAUGUCGUCUAUUUCCAUAUCCAGAGAAUGUACUUUAAAAAAAAAAAAGGGGGAGAAGGACUCCAUGUAGGGGGUAGGUGGUUGGAAAUAAUAAUUACUUUCCUCACCCACCUGUCAUCUGUCAGCACUCCGGUAUCCAAGGGCAUCUCCUGUUCUCCCAUCAACCUCACAGAUAUUUUGAGGACACCAGCCUGAAGACCUAGUACGUCUUCUCGAGCCCCUUGUUUAAUUUUUGUUCUGUCUUAUUUUUGGAAAGGGGUGUCAUAGAGCCCAGGCUGGCUGUAGCUAAGGAUGACCUUGAAUUCCUGCUCCGCUUGCCUGUGGUGGUGUUGUUAAAUGCUGUGAUUUAGGCCUGCACCUCACACUCGGGGCUUUGAGCAUAGGAGGCAAUCACUCUGUUGGCUGAGUGCUAUCCUCUUCCCAUAGGUACAACUUCAGGUCCCCUAAGGAGUGACCAACCAAGAAAAUAAAAACCACAGUGCCGGA